rnacentral:tRNA from 2 species
GCGCCCGUAGCUCAGAUGGAUAGAGUACUUCCCUCCGAAGGAAGGAGUCGGGGGUUCGAAUCCCUCCGGGCGCGCCA